rnacentral:rRNA from 1 species
GACGAACGCUGGCGGCGUGCCUAACACAUGCAAGUCGAGCGGAGCGGCGGACGGGUGAGUAAUGCCUAGGAAUCUGCCUGGUAGUGGGGGAUAACGUCCGGAAACGGGCGCUAAUACCGCAUACUAUCAGAUGAGACUAGGUCGGAUUAGCUAGUUGGUGGGGUAAAGGCCUACCAAGGCGACGAUCCGUAACUGGUAUGAGAGGAUGAUCAGUCACUGUGGAAAUGAGACACGAUCCAGACUCCAACGGGAGGCAGCGUUGGGUAAUAGUUGACAAUGGGCGAAAGCCGGAUCCAGCCAUGCCGAGUGUGUGAAGAAGGUCUUCGGAUUUGAAAGCACUUUAAGUUGGGAGGCGUUACCAACAGAAUAAGCACCGGCUAACUUCGUGCCAGCAGCCGCGGUAAUUC